rnacentral:rRNA from 1 species
UUAGCCGGCCAUAGCGCGCGGGUCCGACCUGGACUCGUUCCGAUCCCAGAAGUCAAACCGCGCGUCGCCAGGGCGGUAGUGAGAUGCGAGAGCUCUCGCAAAACCCUGGUGCUGGCACCU